rnacentral:rRNA from 1 species
GACGAACGCUGGCGGCGUGCUUAACACAUGCAAGUCGAACGGAAAGGCCCUGCUUGCAGGGUGCUCGAGUGGCGAACGGGUGAGUAACACGUGGGUGAUCUGCCCCUUAUUUUGGGAUAAGCCUGGGAAACUGGGUCUAAUACUGGAUAGGACCAUGCUGUAGGUGGUGUGGUGGAAAGAUUAGUUUCGGUAAGGGAUGAGCUCGCGGCCUAUCAGCUUGUUGGUGGGGUAAUGGCCUACCAAGGCGUCGACGGGUAGCCGGCCUGAGAGGGUGGACGGCCACAUUGGGACUGAGAUACGGCCCAGACUCCUACGGGAGGCAGCAGUGGGGAAUAUUGCACAAUGGGCGCAAGCCUGAUGCAGCGACGCCGCGUGGGGGAUGACGGCCUUCGGGUUGUAAACUCCUUUCAGCCAUGACGAAGCCCUUGCGGUGACGGUAGUGGUAGAAGAAGCACCGGCUAACUACGUG